rnacentral:lncRNA from 1 species
UGGGUGGUAGCUACACGGACGGUGGUGACUCCGGCGGCAGGUCCAGUCAGCCGAACCCGUACAACGUAGUCAUUGAUGCCAAUCAGUUGAAGCUCCCCGCCACCAGUUCCCCCCAGGUAAGGUCUGAUCUCCGACAGCACCUGCAAUCAAAUCACACUCAUCUAGUGAUCAUUUUUUUUAUAAAAUUGAUGGGUUCCAACGAGCUCUUGUGUCAAGCUUCGAACGUGCCAAGCUCGAGCUCGAUAAGCGACAUAAACAAGCCGAGCUUGAGCUUCAUCGAACUGAGCUCGAGCAUGUAAUUUCAACCAAACCGAGCUCGAGCUUGUUUGUGCAAGCUCGGGCCGAGGUAUAAAUUCAGAGCCGAGCUCGAGCUGGACAAAGCUCGGAUUGAUUCGGCUUGUGAACAGCUCUGUUUAUGAAACAAGAUGAUAUGCAAACCUUCUCAACAUUGUCGUCGUUCAACUCUAACCCGGUCUCAGUAUCCAUGAUCUGCUCAACCGACAUGAUCUCAGGUAUCUUAUCACGGAGGCGAGUCUCGAUCCCCAUCUGAAGCGUCAUAGCAGAACUCGGGCAUGAACCACAAGCGCCUUGAAGCUUCAACACCACCACCAGUCCGUCUAUCUCGUGGAGAGCAA